UACAGAGGGUGCAAGCGUUACUCGGAAUUACUGGGCGUAAAGCGUGCGUAGGUGGUCUGUUAAGUCUGAUGUGAAAGCCCUGGGCUCAACCUGGGAAUUGCAUUGGAUACUGGCAGGCUAGAGUGCGGUAGAGGAUGGCGGAAUUCCCGGUGUAGCAGUGAAAUGCGUAGAGAUCGGGAGGAACAUCUGUGGCGAAGGCGGCCAUCUGGACCAGCACUGACACUGAGGCACGAAAAGCGUGGGGAGCAAACAGG
rnacentral:rRNA from 1 species